rnacentral:rRNA from 1 species
UACAGAGGGUGCAAGCGUUAAUCGGAAUUACUGGGCGUAAAGCGUGCGCAGACGGUUGCGUAAGUCAGAUGUGAAAGCCCCGGGCUCAACCUGGGAAUUGCAUUUGAGACUGCGUAGCUAGGGUGCGGAAGAGGGAAGCGGAAUUUCCGGUGUAGAGGUGAAAUUCGUAGAUAUCGAGAGGAACACCGGUGGCGAAGGCGGCCUUCUGGACAGUGACUGACGCUGAGACGCGAAAGCGUGGGGAGCAAACAGG